AUAUAUGAUGCAUUAAUUAUAUAUUUAUCCUAAAUUGAAGUCGUGAUCUGAGUAUAUCAUCGUGACUGUUUAUAUGCAAAUGAAAGAACCUGAGCAAGCACUCAGGUUCUUUUUUUA
rnacentral:sRNA from 1 species